rnacentral:misc_RNA from 1 species
AAGUCGUAACAAGGUUUCCGUAGGUGAACCUGCGGAAGGAUCAUUUUCGAAACAAACCCUUUAUACCAACCAACCCAUGUGAAGCGUUGAUUGUUUGAUUUUACUCUCGCCUCGCGGCACAACAACAUCUGCCGUCGUGCAGAGCCGUUUGAGGGGAGAGGCCUUGAUGAACUACCUCGAUGAGGUUGAUUGCUAUCGUAUUUCUUUUGACAGACCACUUUUUUCUCUUGAAAAAAAGAGAGAGAGGCGGACUGAAAAAAAUAAAUGAUACGACAACUUUUAACGGUGGAUCUCUUGGCUCGU